GGAUGACUUGUGGAUUAUUGUGAUGCUUUUAUCAGCUGUCUGAACUCUCGAUCUGAUGGCACCCAUUCACUUCAGAGAAUCUACAGGGGGGCAGGUUUACAGGACCAAUCACAGGCUGCACUGCUGGCUGAUGAGUCCCGUCUUGUCCUGCUGGCAUCAAAGAGGGCCAAAAAGAGUAGCCAAUUGGAGGAAGAGGUGGUACAUGGGAGCCGUAGUGAUGGUGAUGAUGGACAACCCCUCCUCUCAUUGUUGAAUGUUGAAGGGAAAGGUUUGUGGAGGUGGGAUUUGUGCUAUGAGAGGCUGUUGCUGUGGUAACUGCUGGAUAAUGGUGGCUGGCUGUUGAGGAACCUUGCGGGAGGAAAAAUAUAAGUUAGAGGGCC